ACUUGCGCAUAGCUUCCUCAUUCUUCCUACUUUGAAGAUUAUGUUUAUCCAAUUUUUAUAGUCAUUGUUGCUGAAAAUGACGGCAUCUUCCAUGCACCCAUUCAAAUCUUCAACAACAAGAAGAAGGAAAGUGUAGGCUUUUUUCCAGCAUUGGUGGAGGAAUCAGAGCCCCAAAAUUCAAAGCACAAUUAGACAGCUUGUCAACUCGGGUCAACUUGAGUUCAUAAAGAGAGGUUGGUGCAUGCAUGAUGAGGCAACAACUCAUUAUAUUGACAUGAUAGAUCAGAAAACUCCAAGGCACAGAUACAUUAAACAGCAGUUCCAUGUUACUGCUAGAAUUAGCUGACAAAUCAAAUCUUUUGGACAUUCUGCUAUUCAGGCAUUCUAUCUGAGAAUAGAGGUGUCAAUCUAUCUAGCAAUUUUAAUUCGGAAGUUUGAAUAAUAACUCUUUUUUGGUUCAUUAAUUAGCAAGGGACUCGCCUCUAAAAUAUGAGAAAUUAAAAAUAUUUUGCCGAUGAUUUAGCUAAAAUCCAAACACAUUUAAGCAACUAUGUUGGCCUCAUACAUUUUACUACUUUAGGUUGGAUUCGACUCUCUUUUCUUUGGAUACAUUGACUAUCGAACCAGAGAAAAAAAAUAGAGAAGUGUCUUAAGAUCAUUUGGAGGGGUUCUAAGAGUCAUAGU